rnacentral:rRNA from 1 species
AGCGAACGCUGGCGGCAGGCUUAACACAUGCAAGUCGAACGCCCCGCAAGGGGAGUGGCAGACGGGUGAGUAACACGUGGGAACGUACCCUUUGGUUCGGAAUAACUUGGGGAAAAUCAAGAUAAUACCGGAUAAGUCCUUAUGGGGAAAGGUUUACUGCCGGAGGAUCGGCCCGCGUCUGAUUAGCUAGUUGGGGAGGUAAUGGCUCACCAAGGCGACGAUCAGUAGCUGGUCUGAGAGGAUGAUCAGCCACACUGGGACUGAGACACGGCCCAGACUCCUACGGGAGGCAGCAGUGGGGAAUAUUGGACAAUGGGGGCAACCCUGAUCCAGCCAUGCCGCGUGAGUGAUGAAGGCCUUAGGGUUGUAAAGCUCUUUUACCCGGGACGAUAAUGACUGUACCGGGAGAAUAAGCCCCGGCUAACUUCGUGCCAGCAGCCGCGGUAA